CUAGACGCAACUGAGCCCCUAUUCAUCAGGUUGACCUUCCCUGCCUUGACUGCGCCCCCGCCUCCCUCCCCACCCCGCCGUGCUCCCUCUCCCUCCCCUCUAUGGUCGUAUGACGCCCGCUGCCGGCGCAACCUCCCUUCACCCCCGCUCGACGUCGCCCUGCCCAUCUGCCUCUCCCAUGGCGCACGGCACCUGCCGCCGGACCCGCCCUUCCGCCAUCUCCUGUAUCGUCGGCGCAACCUCCCUUCGCACCGCUCGCCGUCGGGUUGUCCGGCCCAUGCGCCUCUCCUACGACGCCAGCCUCCAGCCCCGCCAUCUCCUGUGGUGCACGACGCCCGCCGCUGGCCCCGCCCUUCCGCAUCUCCUAUGGCGCGCGCGCCUGUCCGUCGGCCACGCCCGUCCGCCUCUCCUGUGGCACACGACUGUUGCUGUGUACGUCUGGAACAACGCCACAGGGUGGCCCUCCCUCAUCGGUCUUUGCAUCUUCAAUGAUUCAUCCCGGGAGCCAUAUGAUCUGUCAGAUGAUGACACUAAUUUGCAGAAGAAGUUCACACGUCUAAGGGAUCAUGCAGCUGCACUGCGAAACUACUGUAUAAUCCUGACCUUUCUUUCUUUUGUCUUCACAAGGUUGAAAGCGCUCUUGGUUCUGCUGAAAAGCUUGUGAGAGCAUCACCUGAUGAGCUGUUCCACUACUAGGGUGAUCUUGUUCAAGCACUGGUACAUGUUCGUUGUUCUGAUGUCGUGAUAGAAGGUGAGGAAGAUUUUGCGGAAGAAAAGCGACAGAAGGCAUUAGUCGCCUUGCUGGUAACCAGCCCAUUUGAAUCAUUUUUGCUUUGCAUUUUCUUCAGGAUUUGGUACAUGUGUAUUUUCACAUAAUUUUUAACAAACCAAUUCAUAGAUUCGUUGUAUAUGAAUAACCGACCAAACAAAGACCGGUGAUAAUCAGCGUCAUCCCGGACCUAACGAACAUUUUAGUCUGAAUUUAUCUAACACUAUGGGAAUAGGGUAAAUGAUAACCAAAAGUUAGAAAUCUGACAUUAUGAUUGAUCAUACUAUCUGUAAUCCAUACUCUUCUGCUUUAUGGGAGUUAGUCUGUCGAUCAUCAUGACCAACUGAAAAUAAUUAAACCGGUAGAUCCCGACCUCAAAUGGCGCGAGUGCUCUAUGAAAGCUUGGGAUUUACCCCGCUAAUGUACUUGUAUUAGGACGUUCUCUACACGUUCGGAAUAGAUUAUCAAGAAAAUUUAUCUAAAGUCUGAUCAAAUUCAUUUAGAUUCAGUUUAAUUAUAGUGUCUGUUCAUUUUUUACAUUGAUUUUAUCAUAUUAUAAAAUUGUCAUACCGUAUAGUUCUUAAAACUGCAUAUGUUUUCCUGCUGCAAGUGCCACUGUUGUCACAAUGCUGCAAAGAGACGGUGCAUGGAUGCAUUUUUUAACUCUCAUGAGUGCUUGUAGAAGAAGAAUUGUACAAUGCGGAAAGAUGUUAUUUGCAUCUGCAAAGAGGGAUCAUAUUUGUAGAUUGAUUCCAUAAGAAUCAGGAGCAGGAGCUAAUGGACAGUCAGUGAGCCCCAAGGGCGGUGGCCCCUGCAACAUGAAGAAGACCAUCCAGACAAAGGGGAGGUACACGGAUAGCCAAGGAUGCAAGGAGACGUGCAGAGUACAAAUGUUAUGAGAAUUUCAGGAUUUUUGUCAUAUCUCCCAGUUACCUUAAUUUUCGAUGGAGAUUUGCCUGAAUGUUGCUUUCCUCCGCGUGAAGUGCCUAGAAUUCUCGAAGGCGUCAACAAGACCCGAAGGAGAUUGACAAAGUGUAGGCAAGAACGUUGAUCUCAAGUUCAUUGUUGUCUUUUUCUAUCUGAACAUUUUCUUAUUUGGAGUUGCAGUCAAUUUAUGGUGUAUUGUAGUUUGUUUGGUUGCAUCAAUCAAGAGGGCUAAUAUGAUGUAUUGCAGAUUGACAAGGUUUGGUUGCAUCAACGAAUUGAUUUAAGACAAGAUAGCAAUGGGAACCAUUGUCCUAAAGUCAGCUGGAUCAUCAAAGUUCUCUGUGCAGCAAAGCCUGAUAGGCGUGUUGGAUGUUGCUGCAUGUCUCAGCCAACAGAGUGAUGAUACUGCUGUUGGAUCUCCAGCAACAUGCUACCAUAGCUCUUCGGGAAGCAAAAAGCUGAGAAUUGGCAGAUGACCGAUCUCAUGUUGUGAUGUGCUUUAGGUGUGUUGCUCACCGUUCUGGCUGUUUUGUUGUUUCAAACAUCUCAAUUUAGUUUGGUCAUUCGAGAACUAUAGCGUGGUCAAGUGUAUUGACUUUGUCGUUCAGCUCUCCGCUUGAGAUUAUUUUAGUUCUGAUUUACUUUCAUUUACUUUGUUUUGCAAGUAGCAUGUCCUUAGCGUGCCACCGUGUCAGUACAAUGCCAGUUUUUGUGUUUCAUAUAAUGCUUAAUUACAGUUGAUUGUACCUUUAUUUCUAAACAAACAAAAUCAACUGUAAUUUUGUAACUCAAUGCAGAUUGAAUUAUCAUACAUUCUGUAUAAAUGUAAUGCCUAUUAUAUAUUUCUGAAGUGUAUUAA